UCAGUCUAAUCUAAGUCUCGAAUUUAGGGGAAUCGGUUCGGGAGUUGUUGAGCCAAUUAGGCGCGGACAGGUGGUACGCCGGUAUUCUCUUCAAAGGCAUCAAUCUGGCCGUGCACCAGGAGCACCAAAAAAGUUUUUAAGUAAACCGUCGCGCCAAUUGAAGGAAGUUACAGUAACCGCAAGCAGUUACAUGCGGUUCCGAUCGGCUGGAGGUGGUCCGGGAUAUUAGGAGAUAGUGGCCGAUCGUGUAAGAGCAAUAACUGAUUAAGGGGCGAUCUAUAAAUAGGUCAAUAACGCCCUAAAAAAGGGUCUUUUCUCCUGCGAACAAAAAACCACCCUUAAUUCCUUGCAAUUUCUUGCAUUCUCUAGGAGUAGUUUACCUGUAACUUUUCUUUUCUCGCAUUUACUGUUCUUUCUAGGAGUAAUCCGUAAAGUAGAUCAAACGAGUCUACAUGCCAUCCGGCACACUCGACCCCUGUACUUCCUUCCACUCAAUAUAAAGGCAUUCAGCUCCUCUAGCCGACAAAUUCUCACCUUUUCUGUUAGUUCGGCUCUUCUGCCGUACUCAUUUCUCGCUCGGUCUGUACAUUUGGCUCAUCCCGCCGAACCGAGUUUACUUU
rnacentral:lncRNA from 1 species